GAAGAAACACCUUUUACAUGUCUAGCAGCUGACUCAAUGCAAGUAUUACCACCAGCAGGAACCACAAAGAAACCUAGAUAUCACGACACUGCUCUGUUGGAACAGGAGAAGUACUCAAACACGGUACCUGACCCCAGGAGGAGCAUAAAGAGAGCAAAGCCACUCCUGAGGAAGCAGAGGAAGACAACUCAAGGGGAAUGAAGCAGUGCCUUUAAAUGACCUUUGAGGACAAAUGGGAUUGCAAUAAAAUAACAAAGGUGAAGGAUACAAAGUAGAUAACUAAACAUAUAAAAACUUUUGCCUUACCAGGGAACAGGUAGUUAUUUUCUAU
rnacentral:lncRNA from 1 species